rnacentral:tRNA from 1 species
UCAGAAAAAAAAAUUGACAUUCCUUCUUUAGUCUCCAAAACUAAUAUUUUAAAUAAACUAUUUUCUG